rnacentral:rRNA from 1 species
UCGAACGGAGUUAUAUUGUAGCCUGCUAUGGUAUAACUUAGUGGCAGACGGGUGAGUAAUGUAUAGGAAUCUACCUAGUAGUACGGAAUAAUUGUUGGAAACGGCAACUAAUACCGUAUACNCCCUACGGGGGAAAAAUUUAUUGCUAUUAGAUGAGCCUAUAUUAGAUUAGCUAGUUGGUGGAGUAAUAGCCUACCAAGGCAAUGAUCUAUAGCUGAUCUGAGAGGAUGAUCAGCCACACUGGAACUGAGAUACGGUCCAGACUCCUACGGNNGNCAGCAGUGGGGAAUAUUGGACAAUGGGCGAAAGCCUGAUCCAGCCAUGCCGCAUGAGUGAAGAAGGCCUUUGGGUUGUAAAGCUCUUUUAGUGAGGAAGAUAAUGACGGUACUCACAGAAGAAGUCCUGGCUAACUCCGUGCCAGCAGCCGCGGUAAUACGGAGAGGGCUAGCGUUAUUCGGAAUUAUUGGGCGUAAAGGGCGCGUAGGCGGAUUAGUAAGUUAAAAGUGAAAUCCCAAGGCUCAACCUUGGAAUUGCUUUUAAAACUGCUAAUCUAGAGAUUGAAAGAGGAUAGAGGAAUUCCUAGUGUAGAGGUGAAAUUCGUAAAUAUUAGGAGGAACACCAGUGGCGAAGGCGUCUAUCUGGUUCAAAUCUGACGCUGA